UUCCCUCAGUGAGGACAUUAAUUUUUUCUGGAUUUGACGUCGUCUCUGGGCCGCUUUUGGUCGAUCUGGACUCUGGCCUGGCAGUGCUGGACACCUGGUUUGUCUUGGUGGGCUACAUCCUCUCGGGGCUCGCCAUUACUCCUCAGUCAGAAAUCCAGCUUCCAGGGAGUGAUGCCAAGUGAUUUGAAGCUCUUCCGUUUUCAGCAAACACAGAGAAUGAAAGGAAAUCCGGAAAAACCCUUUAUCGUCUGAUUAUGUACAUCUUCAUCAAGUUAAGAACUGUCUCCGGGAGCUUCUGAGACAGAAGCAAAAGCAGAGCGGCAAGGAAGGAUGGAAGGAGAGUAUGAGUGAUGGAGGAGGAAGAAGAAAGUGGAGGAGGAAGAGGAGACAGAGGAGGAGGAGGAGGAAAAGAAGAAGAAGAGAGAGAUGGAAACCUUUCUCUUCAGUGAGCCCUAGACUUUUUGUGAAUCAAUACUUUUUCUUUUGCCUUCAGCCUGUUUGAGCUAAGUUCUGAAGUGGUCACGACUAAUACACUUUUCCUAUUGUCAUGAAACCCAGAGCAGCUUUCAAGCUGAAAAUCUUGACUAUUCCUUCUCUUUCUCCUCACUGUAUGUUUGGUGGGCACUAUAUGUUGCUGGCGGGCACUAUAUAUUGCCUUGGUGAUUGCACACGUGGGGAUACUUACCAGGGCUCCCAGAGCUUGCCAGUCUUAGGAUGAGGAGCUAAAGUAAUGUCUCCAUCAGCAUAUCCCGAAGCCUGUAAGAAAUCUUGGAAGUCAGGCAGCCUCCCCGUCUCCCUCCCUUUCUUCGUUCUUUCUUUCUAUAAGCAUUUCUGAGGACUAAUUCAGUUCUAGGUCAUUAAAUAGCAAAGCAGGGCUCUGAUAAAUUCAUUUCAGUUUAAAUUUCAGUUGGUGAAAGAAAAUACGUCCCCAAGAAUAGACACCAACUUCUCGGAUUGAAGUUUUUUUCAUGCUGUAAGCUCUUCAUGAUUUCGAAGUCUUUUAAAAAAUACAUUCUCUCAUUUGACCCUCACAAUAACCCAUAGGGGAAUAGAAUCUAUGAAUAAAAAUGGCUAACAGCCAUUGAGUGCUUUGUAUGAGGCCAGCAGUUCUGAAAGCGUAGUUCUGGGACCCUGGAGUUCUCUGAGAGCCUUAUAUGGGUUCCAUGAGGUUCAAAGGAUCUUCAUAAUAGUACAAGACAUUAUUUACCUUUUCCACUCUUAUUCUUCCACUAGUGUACGGUGGAGUUUUUCAGAAGCAUCACAAUGUGAUUUUUUGAAACACAUUGAAUGCAGAAACAGACCUGAGAAUCCAGUUGUCUUCUAUUAAAGCCAGACAAACAGAUUUACAAAAAUGUAAAACAAUGGUACUGUUUUCACUAAUUUUUUUGUUGUAGAAAAUAGAUAUUUUUAUAAAAAUGUGUUAUUUGUGUUAACAUGUAAUGGAUUUAUUAUUUUUUGUGAAUGAAUAAAUAUUUACGAAUUUUCCCAGUUUUAAUUUUGAAUACAGUAAAUACCUAUAGCUAAACUUCCAUAAACAAGUGCCUUUGGGCUCGGCUCUGCUAUCACCUUUUAGAGAUAAGGAAACGAAGGUUGGCAGAGAGCUUAGGAAAGCUGGACAUUCCACAAGCAGUAGGUGGGAUGGGAACACAAGGCUCUCAGCUUCCAGAGUUUGAGAUUUGACUUCUAUUUUAUAGUUGAAAUUGAAGUGUUCCUGUUCAUGGUCAAGAAUGCUCUGCCUCAGAAGGGUUAUGCCAUUUGCCUAAGCUCACAGAGCCCAGGACUGAGCUAGGGCUUCGACAGGUCUUCCGAUUAUAGCCAGUGGCCA
rnacentral:lncRNA from 1 species